CUUUUUUUUUUUUUAAACCAGCUUCAUUUUAGGACAAGAUUAUUUUUCCCUUAACAAAAAAAAAUUCCUGUUUUUCAUACUUCUUUUUUUUUUUAACUGAAAACAUCUCACUUUACUGGCAUAUGGCGAUGUUUCUCUUAUUUUUAUAGUUUUAAUUACAUAUUAGAAUUUUUGACCCUUAGGAAACCUGAUUCCUAUUGAAAAUCAAGAAGUAAGUAAUCAUGAAUGGUCUGUUGUGAGCAUUUAUUUUUAAAUUUGCAAAUUUAUGAAUAUGUUUUAAAAUUUCCAGAAGCAUGUACCUUUAAAAAUCUUAAGAUGAUAAUAUUAACAUAUCUAAUUAUUUUGUUUUUCUGUAAUAAGCCAAUUAUAGAUAAACCUAUGUUUAGUAAUUAGUGUUCUAUUAUUUUGUCUUAUUUGAAAAUGAUCUAGGUAGUUAAUGAAUUUAACUCAUUAUUGAAUUUAGCAAAACUUCUAGGGUUUUAAGUUAUCAAAAGGAUUUGGAGAAAGUGUUCUUAGGAAGAAUUCCUCUGCCUUUUGAAGUUCUUCUGUUGAAUUAAGAAUUAAAUUAAAAUGAGAUGGAUUGAUAGGAGAAAGUCAAAUUUAGUUUUCCACACGCAGGGAAUCUAUAUAGGCAUGAAAUUCCAGAGAUAGGUAACAUGAGGCUUAUAUGACAUUCUGAGCUAAAGAGAGCAGGGUCAGGUCUGAGGACACAAAAGGUAGGAAAACGUUAGCAAGAAGGUAACAGAAGAUCUUUGGAAAACAAAGGUUUCUGUGUUACACAGAUAAGUUUCUAAGGUAAAGAGGAAUCUCUGUUAACAGCUCUUUUUCUGGUAUAGGCAGGCAGUUUGUGGGGGGGGGGGGUAAGAUUUCUUGGAUAUGACUGCCUUUAACUCAAAAUAAUCUUUAUGCUAAAGUGGCCCAUCUUGGGAUGGCUUGCGAUUCCCCCCCCUGACCGCCCUACAAUAUUUAGAAAAUGUAUCUAAAACUUCUUAUUUAACUUGUUUUCCACAGUUAGAUUUAGAUUACUUACAAAAACUUGAUUAAACAUUAGAUGAAGUCAGUCAUUAUUUUAAGCUAUUAUUUUAUUGCUAGGUCUCAUAAAAGAGAACAUAAACAGUUGGCCAGUAAACUUAGGUAGAAUAAAAGUUUUGUAUUUAAUGUUGGUAACUCUAAAGAUAGGUUUGUUUUAAUCAAACCAUCAUCUCAAACUAGCCUUCCCAUUGAUUAUUUUUUUCAGAUAAUAUGAAUUUAAAAACCAUUUGGGUUUCUUUCUUUCAUUCUUUUUCUUUUUCUUUCUUUAUUGUGUGUGUGUUUUUGUUUUUUGUUUUAGAAUGCCUAGUCCUUACAAGUGCUUGUCUUCAAACCAACUAAAUAGAGCUAGUUUACAAAGUAAUUUUGGCAAUACCAUCCAGAGGUUAGAAACAUAUUUACAACAUACACAUACAAGAACAUAAGAUGGUUGCAGAAUGGGUAGCUUUUGUUUUAGAAUUACUGCUGUGAAAUAGGUGCGAAUUUUAUUCCUUAAAAAAGUAGGAUCUGAGUUCAUUUUUCUGGUAGAUGGAAUAAGUUAAGGUCAUUGGUCUAGAUGGCUAAACCUUCUUUAAUUGUGGAGAAGAUGACUUAAAAUUUGUGUUUGUCCUUGGGAAGUCACAUUUUAUUUUAUUUAUCUAUUUUUAAGAUUUAUUUGUUUAUUAUUCGAGACAGAGAGACAGGCAGAGACACAGGCAGAGGGAAAAGCAGGCAGGGAGCCUGACAUGGGGCUCAAUCCUGGAUUUCCAGGAUCACACCCUGGGCCAAAGGCGGCGCUAAACCGCUGAGCCACCUGAGAUGCCCAGCAAGUCACGUUUUAAAUGGUCUCUCUCCAUUGCUUUUAUUUGAUAAAAAUUACCUCCGUGGAUUGGCAUUUUUAGAGAGCUGGAUUAAAUAAGGGUUCCUGGAGAAGACCAAGCAGGACACUGAAUAUUUACGUCUUAGGGACAAGGGAAAAAUGCAGGCACUUUGUAGAAGCACCUGUGUUCUCUUAAGGUAAGAAUUUUUAGAAUACUUAGGAACCUUUUGAGAUAAAUGAGGGAGGUUUUUGGGAUUGGUUAAAAAGGAUUGGUGGUUUUGGAAGUGUUCUUGGAACGACACCUGUGGUUCUGUAAAGACCUGACUUGUCAAGCAAGGACAACUGUUUUUACUUUCUCCAGCAAUUGAGUUGUUGCCUAAGUAAUAUCAAGGUAUUGACACAUCCAUCCAUCUAUGAGAAAGUCUUCUUUUCCUCUGGGUAUAUUUAACUUAGUGGAGAAGGCCUAAAAUUUUCAUCAGGGUCUGAAUAUCAGCUUUCAAUUUGGCCACAUUUCUGAUUUAUUAAAAAAAUUAAAAUAUCAUAUCAACUUUUAGCAGGACAAACAGUAAAGAUUUCUGGCAGUAUUCAACAACCUUACAGACCCAAGAGGCUUCCUUAAAGAGAGUGUGAAAAAAUACUAUUUUUAUAAGAACUCGAGCCACUCCCAAAGAUAGCCAAAGAAAGAACUGAUGACCUGCACGUCCUGGGCAGGCAGAAAGCCAAGCCAUGUUCUUAGGGUGUAAAACAAGAUGAGCAAGAAGGAAAUAGUGAUUCCUAGGAGAGAAAAAGAUUAAUAGCCAGUGUAUCUGGAUUUGGAAAGGAGAGAUAAAAUGCAUUUCUAUUUUCCUCCCUCAGCUGGGUUCAGGAGAUAAACUAAAAAGAAGAGGAAUUGGUUUUGGCACAUGUAGUGAUCUGAGGGCUGAGAGAUUGAGCCCAGCAUCAGGCUCUAUGCUUUGUGGGGAGUCUGCUUGAGACUCUCUCUCCCUUUCUCUUUGCCCCUCCUGCCCAUGUUCUUGUGUGCUCUCUCUUUCUCAAGUAAAUAAAUAAAUCUUAAAGAGAAGAAGAAAAAACACUGAUGAUUGAGGAUCAUCCCUAGAAAUAUUUUACUGUGGCUCUUAGUUCAGUCGUGGACCAAAGGGUGAGGGCUCUCUGAAGAGCAUCCCCUGUAACCUCAGGUGGUUUCAUUUGAAAAGGUAACCGUCUCUUCAGAGUGAAAGGGCAGUUCAGACAAAAUGAGUAGAUUGAGUGCUCAAGUAAAGAAGUGUUGAGGAGAAAGCAUUUGCUUUGCCCUUACAGGUCCUUCUUGCUAGACUAAGAAUCAGAUUGAUAUGGGACUGAUUAUACAGGAGAAAAUCAAAUUCAGUGAUGUAAGUAUGGGGAGUCCACACAGACAUGGCAAUUCCAAAGACAGUGAGGCAACAUGACACAUACAUGAGCCAAGGAGAGGCUAGGGUCUGAGGAUACAACAGGGAGAAGGAUCAUUUAGCAGGAAGGUGAGAGAUCCUUAGGAAACAAAGUUGCCCUAUAUGUAGAUAAAUUUCUUAUGUAAAGAGGAAUCUCUGUUAAUAUAGCUCUCUUCCUGGUACCAGCAGGCAGUUGAGGGGGAGGUGAAGAGCUUUUCCUCAAUCUGCUGGGUUUUGUUUGCUUUUAACCCAAAAUAAUGUUUAUGCCAAAGUAGUUUACCUUGGGGCUGUCUGCCCUUGGCCCCUACAGAAGAAGAGAGGGAAGUUAUGUCAGUCUUGGUGUCUUUUGUCUUAGCUACCUGUUGUAUCUUUAAUUUCUUAUUAGCCUUUUGUAUAACAAACCUUUCAACGACAUAAUUUUGGAAUCUCAAAGCCUUUUGGAGGCUUCUUGGUACCAAUUAAAAUAGUCAUCCCAUUCUGUUGACCUAAUUUGGGAACCCUUCCUUUGAAGAGCACUUCUUAAAUGAACAGUCUUGUCUAAUUGGAACGUUUCCCCUAAUGGCCACCAUAAUUCUAGGUUGUUGCUAAUAAAAUGUUUCUGUCUUGUUAAAUACCUGCAACCCCAGGGAAUGUGAAAGUAGUUUACUAGACUGUGGAAUUUAAGGAUCCCUUUAGCUAAGGCUUUGGAUUUCCUGGGGUCAAACUAAGAUUUAAAAGGGAUGUGCCUUAGGACGCCUGGGUGGCUCAGCGGUUGAGCGUCUGCCUUUGGCUUAGGGUGUGAUCCUGGAGUCCUGGAUCGAGUCCCACGUCAGGCUCUCCCUCUGCUUGUGUCUCUGCCUCUCUGUGUGUGUCUCUUAUGAAUAAAUAAACCAAA
rnacentral:lncRNA from 1 species